rnacentral:rRNA from 1 species
CAAUAGCGUAUAUUAAAGUUGUUGCGGUUAAAAAGCUCGUAGUUGGAUUUCUGCUGAGGACGACCGGUCCGCCCUCUGGGUGAGUAUCUGGCUUGGCCUUGGCAUCUUCUUGGAGAACGUAGCUGCACUUGACUGUGUGGUGCGGUAUCCAGGACUUUUACUUUGAAAAAUUAGAGUGUUUAAAGCAGGCUUUUGCUGUGAAUACAUUAGCAUGGAAUAAUGAUCUAGGACUUCGGUUCUAUUUUGUUGGUUUCUAGUACUGAAGUAAUGAUUGAUAGGGAUAGUUGGGGGCAUUAGUACUUAACUGUCAGAGGUGAAAUUCUCCGAUUUGUUAAAGACUAACUUAUGCGAAAGCAUUUGCCAAGGAUGUUUUCAUUAAUCAAGAACGAAAGUUAGGGGAUCAAAGAUGAUCAGAUACCAU